AAACAAUUAAGAGCAAUAAGCGGAUGCCUUGGAGGCACAAGGCGAUGAAGGACGUGAUAAGCUGCGAUAAGCUUCGGGGAGCGGCAAAUACGCUUAGAUCCGGAGAUUUCCGAAUGGGGAAACCCAGCUAGCUUAAUAGCUAGUUACUUCGGGCUGAACACAUAGGCCCGAUAGAGCAAACCUGGUGAAGUGAAACAUCUCAGUAACCAGAGGAAAAGAAAGAGAAUCGAUUCCCUCAUUAGUGGCGAGCGAAAGGGGAAGAGCCCAAACCAAGAGGAUUUAUCCUCUCGGGGUUGUAGGACUCCAAUAUAGGACUCGAAUAGUUAGAAGAAUCAACUGGAAAGUUGAGCCAAAGAAGGUGAUAGCCCUGUAAUCGAAAACUUGAAGAGCCUUAGGAUGUUCCUGAGUAGCACGGGACACGUGAAACCCUGUGUGAAUCUGCGCGGCCCACCGCGUAAGGCUAAAUACUAUGUGUCUACCGAUAGUGAACUAGUACCGUGAGGGAAAGGUGAAAAGCACCCCUAUUAGGGGAGUGAAAUAGUACCUGAAACUUAUUGCUUACAAGCGGUCGGAGCCCCUUUAUGGGGUGACGGCGUACCUUUUGCAUAAUGGGUCUGGGAGUUAUUGUCUGGAGCAAGCUUAAGUCCUUACAGGACGGAGGCGAAGCGAAAGCGAGUCUGAAUAGGGCAAUUCAGUUGCAGGCAAUAGACCCGAAGCGUAGGUGAUCUACCCAUGGCCAGGUUGAAGCUUUGGUAAAACAAAGUGGAGGACCGAACCUGUGAACCUUGAGAAGUUCUUGGAUGAGCUGUGGGUCGGAGUGAAAGGCUAAUCAAACCACGUAAUAGCUGGUUCUCUUCGAAAUAUAUUUAGGUAUAGCGUUAUGCGCUGACCAUUGGAGGUAGAGCACUGAAAAGGCUAGGGCCCAUACCCGGGCACCAAACCUUAUCAAACUCCGAAUGCCAAUGGGUGUAGCAUGGCAGUCAGUCUGCGGGGGAUAAGCUCCGUAGGCGAGAGGGAAACAUCCCAGACUACCGGUUAAGGCCCCUAAAUCAUUGCUAAGUGGAUAGAAGGAGGUGGAUUUACAUAGACAAUAGGGAUGUUGGCUUAGAGGCAGCCACCAUUUAAACAGUGCGUAAUAGCUGACCUAUCGAGUGAGUCUGCGCCGAAAAUGAUCGGGACUAAAGCAAUGUGCCGAAGCCGUAGGCUUUCGUAAGAAAGCGGUAGAAGAGCGUUCUAACAAGGUAGAAGCCGGAGGGGCAACCGACGGUGGACUGGUUAGAAGUGAGAAUCCAGACAUAAGUAACGAUAAACAUGGUGAGAAUCCAUGUCGCCGUAAGGAUAAGGUUUCCUGAGCAAGGUUCGUCCGCUCAGGGUCAGUCGGGAGCUAAGGCGAGGCCGUAAGGAGUAGCCGAUGCACAACAGGUUAAUAUUCCUGUACUAUCUUGAAUGCGUUACCACCUUCGGAGUGACGGAGAAAGUUAAUCCAGCACAGUGUUGAAUAUCUGUGUCUAAGCGUUUAGGCUGUUUACCAGGCAAAUCCGGUAGACGUUAAAGCUGAGUCGUGAUGGGAUCCCAAGACCACGGUCAAGGGCGAUUGGAUGAUACUAUGCUUCCAGGAAAAGCUUCGUUGGGAGUGUUCAGGGUACCCGUACCGCAAACCGACACAGGUAUCCGAGAUGAGUAUUCUAAGGCGCGUGAGUUAAAUCUCUCUAAGGAACUCGGCAACUUCACCCCGUAUCUUCGGUAGAAGGGGAGCCUGCUCAUGCAGGCCGCAGUGAAGAGGCCCAAACGACUGUUUAGCUAAAACACAGCUCUCUGCAAAGUCGCAAGACGACGUAUAGGGAGUGACAUGUGACCAAUGCGGAAAGGUGAACGCUGGAGGUGAGAGCUUCUGGUCUAAGCCCCUGUGAAUGUCGGCCGUAACUAUAACGGUCCUAAGGUAGCGAAAUUCCUUGUCGGGUAAGUUCCGACCUGCACGAAUCAUGUAACGAUUUGGGCGCUGUCUCGGAGAGAUGCUCAGUGGAAUUGUAGUCGCGGUGCAGAUGCCGCGUACCCGCAGCAGGACGGAAAGACCCUAUGGACCUUUACUGUAACCUGGUACUGUUAUUUGCCUCUCAAUGCGUAGAAUAGGUGGGAGACUGUGAAAUCCUUCUUCAGGGAAGGAUGGAGUCGUUAGUGAAAUACCACUCUUUGUUUGCUAGAUGACUAACCUUAGACCUUUAUCCGGCUAAGGAACAGUGCUAGGGGGUCAGUUUGACUGGGGCGGUCUCCUCCGAAAUAGUAACGGAGGAUUGCGAAGGUUCUCUCAAAUCGGUUGGCAAUCGAUUGUAGAGCAUAUAGGUACAAGAGAGCUUUACUGUAAGACACACAAGUCGAGCAGUUGCGAAAGCAGGCCUAAGUGGUCCGGUAGUAGGACGUGGCACCGCUAUCGCUUAAAGGAUAAAAGGUACCCUAGGGAUAACAGGCUAAUCUCGCCCAAGCGUUCACAGCGACGGCGCGGUUUGGCACCUCGAUGUCGGCUCAUCACAUCCUGGGGCUGAAGACGGUCCCAAGGGUUUGGCUGUUCGCCAAUUAAAGUGGUACGCGAGCUGGGUUCAGAACGUCGUGAGACAGUUCGGUCCUCUAUCCGCUGUGGGCGUAAGAAACUUGAGGGGUUCAUUUCCUAGUACGAGAGGACCGGGAAUGACGAGCCUCUGGUGUUCCAGUUAUCAUGUCAAUGGUAUCGCUGGGUAGCUAAGCUCGGAAGAGAUAAGCGCUGAAAGCAUAUAAGCGCCAAGCUCCUCCCAAGAUAAGGUUUCGCUAGAUCUUCGGAUCUUAAAGGGUCCUGGUAGACUACCAGGUAGAUAGGCUAGAUGUGUAAGUGCAGUAAUGCAUUGAGCUAACUAGUACUAAUGACCCAAUAGGUUUA
rnacentral:rRNA from 1 species